AAGCUAAACCAGCUCAAAGUAGCAUAGUGAUGCACAAGAUUAACUUGAAGUACAUGAAUCCAUCGAUACUUAGAUUUCCUCUUAGAUUUCCGACGUAACACCAGUAAACAAAUAGCUAACCAAAGCAUAAUUAACUUUAUAGUGUCCAAAAAAAACAAAGGAAAUAUGUGGAUCUAAACAAGGCAACUAAACCUUUAGGAUUCUAAAGAAAACUAAAUAAGGCAUAUUUUUGGCUAAUCUCAAUCGAUGUACCCGUAGUUGUCCCC
rnacentral:lncRNA from 1 species